AACGAACGCUGGCGGCAUGCCUAACACAUGCAAGUCGAACGAAGCCUUCGGGCUUAGUGGCGCACGGGUGCGUAACACGUGGGAAUCUGCCCUUCGGUUCGGAAUAACAGUUAGAAAUGACUGCUAAUACCGGAUGAUGACGAAAGUCCAAAGAUUUAUCGCCGAAGGAUGAGCCCGCGUAGGAUUAGGUAGUUGGUAGGGUAAUGGCCUACCAAGCCGACGAUCCUUAGCUGGUCUGAGAGGAUGAUCAGCCACACUGGGACUGAGACACGGCCCAGACUCCUACGGGAGGCAGCAGUGGGGAAUAUUGGACAAUGGGCGAAAGCCUGAUCCAGCAAUGCCGCGUGAGUGAUGAAGGCCUUAGGGUGUAAAGCUCUUUUACCAGGGAUGAUAAUGACAGUACCUGGAGAAUAAGCUCCGGCUAACUCCGUGCCAGCAGCCGCGGUAAU
rnacentral:rRNA from 1 species